rnacentral:rRNA from 1 species
CCUACGGGUGACAGCAGUGGGGGAUAUUGCCCAAUGGGGGGAACCCUGAUGCAGCGACGCCGCGUGGGUGAAGAAGCGCCUCGGCGCGUAAAGCCCUGUCCGCAGGUAAGAAAGUGCCGGUACCUGAAGAAGAAGCACCGGCUAACUACGUGCCAGCAGCCGCGGUCAUACGUCGGGGGCAAGCGUUAUCCGGAUGUCCUGGGUGUAAAGGGGGCGCAGACGGCGAUGCAAGCCAGUAGUGAAAGCCCGGGGCCCAACCCCGGGACUGCUCUUGGAACUGCGUGGCGGGAGUGCAGGAGGGGCAGGCGGAAUUCCUGGUGUAGCGGUGAAAUGCGGAGAUAUCAGGAGGAACACCGGUGGCGAAGGCGGCCUGCUGGACUGCAACUGACGUUGAGGCCCGAAAGCGUGGGGAGCAAACAGGAUUAGAUACCCGUGUAGUC